UCAAGUUAUUAAGGGUGCAGGGCGGAUGCCUUGGCACUAGGAGCCGAUGAAGGACGUGAUAAGCUGCGAUAAGCUUCGGGGAGUUGCACGUAAACUUUGAUCCGAAGAUUUCCGAAUGAGGAAACUCACUUAGAGUAAUGUCUAAGUAUCAUUAAGUGAAUACAUAGCUUAAUGAGGGGAACUCAGGGAACUGAAACAUCUAAGUACCUGAAGGAAGAGAAAGAAAUUCGAUUCCGUAAGUAGCGGCGAGCGAACGCGGAUUAGCCCAAACCAAUAAAGUUUUCUUUAUUGGGGUUGCGGACAUAUCAUAACGAAGAGGUAUCGUAAUUGAAGAGGUUUGGAAAGACCCACCACAGAAGGUAAUAGUCCUGUAUGUUAAACGAGAAGACUUCAGAUAUGAUCCAGAGUACCACGGGACACGUGAAACCCUGUGGGAAGCAGGAGGGACCACCCUCCAAGGCUAAAUACUACCUAGUGACCGAUAGCGUAUAGUACCGUGAGGGAAAGGUGAAAAGAACCCCGGGAGGGGAGUGAAAUAGAACCUGAAACCCUGCACUUACAAGCUGUGGAAGCACAUUUCUUGUGUGACCGCGUACUUUUUGUAGAACGGGCCAACGAGUUACGUUAAGUAGCAAGGUUAAGCACUUAAGGUGCGGAGCCGUAGCGAAAGCGAGUUUUAACUGAGCGUUCAGUUACUUGACGUAGACCCGAAACCGGGCGACCUACCCAUGAGCAGGAUGAAGCGAAAGUAAAAUUUCGUGGAGGUCCGAACCCACGAGCGUUGAAAAGCUCGGGGAUGACUUGUGGGUAGCGGUGAAAUUCCAAUCGAGCCCGGAGAUAGCUGGUUCUCCCCGAAAUAGCUUUAGGGCUAGCCUCAAGGUGAGAGAUACGGAGGUAGAGCACUGAAUGUCCUAGGGGGUAUUGCACCUACCGAAGACUAUCAAACUCCGAAUGCCGUCAUCUUAUACUUGGGAGUCAGACUGUGGGUGAUAAGAUUCAUAGUCGAAAGGGCAACAGCCCAGAUCGUCAGCUAAGGUCCCUAAAUGUAAGUUAAGUGGUAAAGGAUGUGGGAUUGCACAGACAACCAGGAUGUUGGCUUAGAAGCAGCCACUCAUUCAAAGAGUGCGUAAUAGCUCACUGGUCGAGUGAUCCUGCGCCGAAGAUUUCCGGGGCUAAAACUUACUACCGAAGCUACGGCAUCAGUAAUGAUGGGUAGGGGAGCUUCCCAUACGGGUUGAAGCAUGACCGUAAGGACAUGUGGACAGUAUGGGAGUGAGAAUGUUGGCAUGAGUAGCGAGAUGUGGGUGAGAAUCCCACAGGCCGUAAACCCAAGGUUUCCAGGGGAAGGUUCGUCCGCCCUGGGUUAGUCGGAACCUAAGCUGAGGCCGAAAGGCGUAGGUGAUGGACAACAGGUUGAUAUUCCUGUACUACCGAUAACCAUUUGAGAGAAGGGAUGACACAGUAGGAUAAGCUAAGCACACUGUUGGUUAUGUGUGCCCAAGCAUUGAGGCAGUCAAAGUAGGCAAAUCCGCUUUGAUAAUGCUGGGAUGUGAUGGGGAGCGAAAUUUAGUAGCGAAGUAGCUGAUUUCACACUGUCAAGAAAAGUCUCUAUCGAGGUUAAAGGUACCCGUACCGCAAACCGACACAGGUGGGUGAGGAGAGUAUCCUAAGGCCAGCGAGAGAACUGUUGUUAAGGAACUCGGCAAAAUGACCCCGUAACUUAGGGAUAAGGGGUGCCACCAUCAGGUGGCCGCAGAGAAUAGGCCCAAGCGACUGUUUACCAAAAACAUAGGUUUCUGCUAAGUCGCAAGACGAUGUAUAGGAGCUGACGCCUGCCCGGUGCUGGAAGGUUAAGGGGAUCUGUUAGAGCAAUCGAAGCAGUGAACUUAAGCCCCAGUAAACGGCGGCCGUAACUAUAACGGUCCUAAGGUAGCGAAAUUCCUUGUCGGGUAAGUUCCGACCCGCACGAAAGGCGUAACGAUUUGGGCACUGUCUCAACAACAGACUCGGUGAAAUUGUAAUUCCGGUGAAGAUGCCGGAUACCUGCGACAGGACGGAAAGACCCCAUGGAGCUUUACUGUAGCUUGACAUUGGGUCUUGGUACUACAUGUACAGGAUAGGUGGGAGGCUUUGAAACCAGGACGCCAGUUUUGGCGGAGCCAUCCUUGGGAUACCACCCUUGUAGUACUGGGACUCUAACCAUAGGCCAUGAAUCUGGUCUUGGGACACUGUCAGGUGGGCAGUUUGACUGGGGCGGUCGCCUCCCAAAAGGUAACGGAGGCGCUCAAAGGUUCUCUCAGUACGGUCGGAAAUCGUACGUAGAGUGUAAAGGCAAAAGAGAGCUUGAUUGCAAGACAUACAGGUCGAGCAAGGAUGAAAAUCGGACUUAGUGAUCCGGUGGUUCUGCGUGGAAGGGCCAUCGCUCAACGGAUAAAAGCUACCCUGGGGAUAACAGGCUUAUCUCCCCCAAGAGUCCACAUCGACGGGGAGGUUUGGCACCUCGAUGUCGGCUCAUCACAUCCUGGGGCUGUAGUAGGUCCCAAGGGUUGGGCUGUUCGCCCAUUAAAGUGGUACGCGAGCUGGGUUCAGAACGUCGUGAGACAGUUCGGUCCCUAUCCGUCGCAGGCGUAGGAAAUUUGAGAAGACCUGUCCUUAGUACGAGAGGACCGGGAUGGACGUACCUCUGGUGUACCAGUUGUCCUGCCAAGGGCAUGGCUGGGUAGCUAUGUACGGAAUGGAUAAGCGCUGAAAGCAUCUAAGCGCGAAGCCAACUUCAAGAUAAGAUUUCCCACCGCAAGGGUAAGACCCCAGAAAGACUAUCUGGUUGAUAGGUCGAAGGUGUAAGUGCAGCAAUGUAUUUAGCUUAUCGAUACUAAUAGGUCGAGGACUUGACCAA
rnacentral:rRNA from 1 species